AUAAUUUUAUAACAGGGGAACAUUCUAGCGAAUGAACAUUGCUGGUGCAGGCUACUGAAACGCAAUUGGUCAGGUUUUUGGACCAAUCACGUCUCGACUGCUCUCUCAUCGGAUUUUGACCAUACAGAUGAAAAGAGGACGGUGAAAGAUGAACGAUGACUGACAAUAAUAUAGAGGUCUACUGUCACUAGUGUGUGGUGGUGAAGUUGUUCUCUGCUCAGCUGACAGACAGGAGAUACAUAGACAGGAGUCCAUUCUGUUCCAAGUAGGUCACCUUGGCUCUCCUCUAUGCACAGCACUCCAGGGACUUCCUGCAGGCUUCUACUUCAUCGCCCUGGACCACGACACGAACGAGCCAGAAGACGCUAAGUUUGGACCACCAUUACAAUGAGCCUGUCCUCCUAUAGCUCCUCCCACCAGCCUCCACUGCUCUUUUAAUUAUGGUGAUGCCCCAACUGUAAGAACCUGGAGAUCUCUACUGAUUUUGAGGGAGGUGACAUUGCCACAAAUAGUGCCUGGGACACCUUCCAGCGCUACUGCUGUCUGGAAAACAGCCAGAGGGUGGUCUGCUGCAACAGUGUGUCAGCUCGGCUGCACCUGGGAACUAUAGAUUGUCUGGGUCUGCUGAGAGGGUCAUUGGCUGCCACCUGCCCUCCAUUGAGGUCCUGCAUGACUCCAGGGCAAGGAAGCAUGCAUGAAAGAUCAUCACCGACCACUUCCAGCCUUUCUUCCACAGACUCCCAUCUGGCAAACGGUUCAAGUCAAUCACGACCAAAACUUCCCCCGUGCCAUGGCCCUCACCAACCAGCCACCUGGUCCACAAUGAUCCUCUCAUCCAUGGACUCUGCGCUAUUCAUCCAGACUAUAAACCGUGCACUAUCAUCUUACAUUCAUCAUUUAUAAUGUAGCUUAAUGGUUCUGCCACAAUAAACAGACAAAAAAUAUAUAUAUGCAGAAUUUCCAUAGAUACACAUUCAGUAUAUUCAUAUUUUGUCUGUUUAUUGUGGCAGCACCAUUUCACAUAGUCAAAUUUCUGUACAUGCAAAUGUUUGGCGAAUAAAGCUGAUUCUAAUUCUAAA